rnacentral:rRNA from 1 species
UUAAACUGAAGAGUUUGAUCAUGGCUCAGAUUGAACGCUGGCGGCAGGCUUAACACAUGCAAGUCGAGCGGAAACGAUGAUAGCUUGCUAUCAGGCGUCGAGCGGCGGACGGGUGAGUAAUACUUAGGAAUCUGCCCAGUAGUGGGGGAUAGCUCGGGGAAACUCGAAUUAAUACCGCAUACACCCUACGGGGAAAAGGGGGCGCUUGCGCUCUCGCUAUUGGAUGAGCCUAAGUCGGAUUAGCUAGUUGGUGGGGUAAAGGCCUACCAAGGCGACGAUCUGUAGCUGGUCUGAGAGGAUGAUCAGCCACACCGGGACUGAGACACGGCCCGGACUCCUACGGGAGGCAGCAGUGGGGAAUAUUGGACAAUGGGGGGAACCCUGAUCCAGCCAUGCCGCGUGUGUGAAGAAGGCCUUUUGGUUGUAAAGCACUUUAAGCAGUGAAGAAGACUCUAUGGUUAAUACCCAUAGACGAUGACAUUAGCUGCAGAAUAAGCACCGGCUAACUCUGUGCCAGCAGCCGCGGUAAUACAGAGGGUGCAAGCGUUAAUCGGAAUUACUGGGCGUAAAGCGAGCGUAGGUGGCUUAAUAAGUCAGAUGUGAAAUCCCCGGGCUUAACCUGGGAACUGCAUCUGAUACUGUUAGGCUAGAGUAGGUGAGAGGGAGGUAGAAUUUCAGGUGUAGCGGUGAAAUGCGUAGAGAUCUGAAGGAAUACCGAUGGCGAAGGCAGCCUCCUGGCAUCAUACUGACACUGAGGUUCGAAAGCGUGGGUAGCAAACAGGAUUAGAUACCCUGGUAGUCCACGCCGUAAACGAUGUCUACUAGUCGUUGGGGAACUUGAUUCCUUAGUGACGCAGCUAACGCAAUAAGUAGACCGCCUGGGGAGUACGGCCGCAAGGUUAAAACUCAAAUGAAUUGACGGGGGCCCGCACAAGCGGUGGAGCAUGUGGUUUAAUUCGAUGCAACGCGAAGAACCUUACCUGGUCUUGACAUAUCUAGAAUCCUGCAGAGAUGCGGGAGUGCCUUCGGGAAUUAGAAUACAGGUGCUGCAUGGCUGUCGUCAGCUCGUGUCGUGAGAUGUUGGGUUAAGUCCCGCAACGAGCGCAACCCUUUUCCUUAGUUACCAGCGGUUUGGCCGGGGACUCUAAGGAUACUGCCAGUGACAAACUGGAGGAAGGCGGGGACGACGUCAAGUCAUCAUGGCCCUUACGACCAGGGCUACACACGUGCUACAAUGGUAGGUACAGAGGGCUGCUACACAGCGAUGUGAUGCGAAUCUCAAAAAGCCUAUCGUAGUCCAGAUUGGAGUCUGCAACUCGACUCCAUGAAGUCGGAAUCGCUAGUAAUCGCGGAUCAGAAUGCCGCGGUGAAUACGUUCCCGGGCCUUGUACACACCGCCCGUCACACCAUGGGAGUUGAUUGCACCAGAAGUGGGUAGCCUAACUUUUAGAGGGCGCUCACCACGGUGUGGUCGAUGACUGGGGUGAAGUCGUAACAAGGUAGCCGUAGGGGAACCUGCGGCUGGAUCACCUCCUUA